CACGGGGGGAGCAAGCGUUGUUCGGAAUCACUGGGCGUAAAGGGCGUGUAGGCGGUCAAGUAAGUGGAAUGUGAAAUGCCCCGGCUCACCCGGGGACCUGCAUCCCAAACUGCUUGGCUUGAGUAUGGGAGAGGAUGAGGGAAUUCCUGGUGUAGCGGUGAAAUGCGUAGAUAGUCAGGAGGAACACCGGUGGCGAAGGCGCUCAUCUGGCCCCAAUACUGACGCUGGAGGCGCGAAAGCUAGGGGAGCAAACGGG
rnacentral:rRNA from 1 species